CUCUCUCUCUCUCUCUCUCUCUCUCUCUCUCUCUCCUUUCUCACCUCUCUGCAGCUAUUGGGGUCUGUGAAUAUCAGCUUCUGGUGCACUGUGGCUGAUCAAUUGACCACAUUUUCUAGGGACAGGGAAGGUUAAAUCUCUCCACUAGGGAGUUGAUUUAGCCCACCCAUCACCACCACCACCACUAGAGAAGAAAAGAAAAAAUAAAAUAAAAUAAAAUAAAAUAAAAUAAAAAAAGAGAAGAAAGGAAGGAAGUUGAUUUAAGAAGUCUGCAUGUGAAGCUUCCCUAAACAGCACUGCCAAAGCUUUGGGAUGUCACUGAGGCUACCACCUCACUAACCCAUGUUCGAAUUGCCAAUAGUCCCCAUGGUGCCAAAUUUUAAGAUGUUUGUCAUUUAGAAAUAAUGCUGUGCAGAAUGGCUGCAUGCUUAUGAGCCCCACAAGAUGUCAAACCAUAUCCUCACUAAUGCACUGCUCUGCUUGCUGCUCAUUGGCAAUUUAUAAUCUUAAAAAUGGUUUAGAACAAAAGGGAGUGGACACAAUUAUAGGAAACAUUUAUUUUUAAUUUAUUGUAUUUGCAAUUUGCUAAUUAAGGGGAGAAAGAUACUUCUGUAGAAAUCUUCUACCCUUAUUUCUAAAACUUAUUUAUAGACGACAUAUAUUUUAUAUGACCAGUUUGCCCAAGGCACUUAAAAUAGAAGUCACUGUCCUAGUGUAGCUUGACUGUAUUAUCAUACAUGCCCUAACCAGUAGCUUCAUUCUAUUCCUGGUACAGAUCAAAGGCACUGACCCCUUGGGUAUAUAAUAAAGAGCAUUGAGUAUAUUUUAUAGUGUG